rnacentral:rRNA from 1 species
AGCGAACGCUGGCGGCAGGCCUAACACAUGCAAGUCGAACGAAGUCUUCGGACUUAGUGGCGGACGGGUGAGUAACACGUGGGAACGUGCCUUUAGGUUCGGAAUAACUCAGGGAAACUUGUGCUAAUACCGAAUGUGCCCUUCGGGGGAAAGAUUUAUCGGCUUUAGAGCGGCCCGCGUCUGGUUAGCUAGUUGGUGAGGUAAAGGCUCACCAAGGCGACGAUCAGUAGCUGGUCUGAGAGGAUGAUCAGCCACAUUGGGACUGAGACACGGCCCAAACUCCUACGGGAGGCAGCAGUGGGGAAUCUUGCGCAAUGGGCGAAAGCCUGACGCAGCCAUGCCGCGUGGAUGAUGAAGGUCUUAGGAUUGUAAAAUCCUUUCACCGGUGAAGAUAAUGACUGUAGCCGGAGAAGAAGCCCCGGCUAACUUCGUGCCAGCAGCCGCCGUAAUAC